UCUCCUGAAACAGAAAUAAAACACUCCUUCUCAGUUUAAAUCCGGUUUCACCAUUGGAUUUCUAAGAUAACGCACAAUCAUAGAUUUAUGAUUAUAACUCGGAGAUGCGACUUUUCGUGAUAGAGAGGACGGAGAUACGAAGGGAGGAAGGUAUCGAUAGCGUUAGCCAGAACGAAAGAAUAAUGAAACUGGCCACUCGUAAAUCAAUGUCUCGCGUAGACUAUCGGAUUAUUGGUUUUUUCUACGUCACCGGCCUGCACUGGUGAGCUAACGUCUUUAUUAAUUACCACGCUCUUUAGCCACCAGUUGGACACUUUUUACUCUUAAGUAGGACCAUAACAUAUAAUUAUUCGAACGUAACCGUGAUUUUCCCAAGCAAUUGUGUGUAUCCAACGUCCGAUUAGAUGGUUACAUUGCGAGCUUUUAUCACGAUUGCUCUUGUUCGUGAUUUUCAUGUAUUCGUUAAUUCUAUGUGAAAUAUUUGUAGUGCAUUGAAAUAUUAUUUGAGUGGAUUAUAUGAAUUUUGGCUCUUGAGAAUUAUAAGCAGAAAAGAGAUAGCUAAAAGAACGAUGGGAAUCUUAAUUUAUAAAGUAUCAGCGAUAUCUUGAAAGAUGAUAAAUUCUAACAUCAAUUAUUCUUAACGCGUCAACAGAAGGACUGAACAUGUUUGCCAGGAUGAGGUUGAAUUUUGAGAAGCAGUAGGGGUUCCAGGAGCUGUAAUACGUAAUAAAGAUAUUACACGUCCCAUACGUGAAUGCAAAGAACAUGCCACGAGCAGAUGGCGUCGGGCACGUGUACGCGUACUCAGCUGUGCUUACAAGAACAUCGCUUGACGUUGCCAAAAUCUAUUACAUAAGGCGUCGAGCUCUACGUGCGUGCAAGAUUCUCGUGGCUUAAUGCCCUAAUAUUAAAUUGUCGUGAAAGGAUAACCGACCCUUCAAAUCUCAUCCCCCAAAGUAAGAUUUAACCAGAAAAUCGAAGAAGAAACUGUCAAACUGAAAAAUUAAUAGAUGAAGUAGAACGUUUAUCAAACGAAGCUCUCACGGAUAAGAAACAUGUACUUGAUCCCAGAAUUAAAUAGAGAUAAUUUUUUAAUUGAUUGACCGGCUAAUAGAAUUCGAAAAUUUAUUUUCUCUAAAAGAUGGAAAUGUGAUUUAUGCGCUUCGAGUGAAACGAAGCACAACGCUAACAUUUUCGGUCAAAGGCUGUAGUUGAACGAGUCUGAAGGAUGUUCGAAGUUGGGAAUUUUUAAAAUCGUUGAAAUUUUCAUGAUGGAAUUUAGUCGAGCUACUAGAGUUCGCUAAGGAAGUUAGUUAGGGCCAUUUGUACGACGUAAAGGUUUCGAUCAUGGCUGUUGGCUUUUUAAGACUUGCAUUGUUGGCGCACUUUCGAUUUGAUGGUUCUUUGCGACUACCAAUAUCGACCAAGAUCAAGAUCUUGAUCUUUUUUCUUUCUUUCUUUCUUUUAUGAGGAAUCGCCAACAGGUAUUCUGUUUAAUGUUUUUUUCUACAGUUGCACAAGUCUGAAUCUCCAGUGAUGAAAAUAGAUAGAAGCACUUUAUGAGAUAGGAAUGAGCUUACAUUCGACUGUGUACAUUGGAAGCUAAUAAAUUUUCCUUUCACUUUUCCUUUUCCGAAAUUGGUUUUUUUGUCUUCCUACCACUGAUUCGUUCGUGGCGAAAAUUUAUCGGUUUCUGUGGCGAUUGCUCUCAUAUUUUCUGGCGAUUAAAUACUUGUAGAAACUUCUAUUUUUCCACAAUGUUAUUUUUGGAACUUUGAAGUCAAUUAUUAGCUUGUAGAAUUAUUCAAACGGAACGUCAUCGGAGGAAUGUCUCGAUCAAUCUGUCAGGUGAUUUUCAGUACUGUAAUUGUUAGAUUAUUGGAGAGACAGCAAUUCCUUCGCCAAGAUCGAUCGCGAUUGAUCGCAUACUAUCGGUAUUAAUUCCUAAAGUCGCAUAACAUGCCUGUAUAUACAACAUAAGGCCAUUUACUAUUAGAUAACCGCAUGAAAUUCAUAUCACUGAUGGGAUGGUUGAUUCUGUCUACAGACGAACGCUUCUGAUACCGAAUAACAUGAUUUUAAAAUAUUUGACAGUCCUAUCAAAAUAUAUGGCUCUUCAGAUAUUAUUUCACAAUGGAAUUUAUAUUCUAUGAUUCCAUGCUAAUUUCUCUAUUAAUCUUCCUUCUUCUUUUACAAUAUGGCAUUUAUCAUAAAUAUAUAUCUGAUCCUAAUUUCUAAUUUACUAGCUGUGUGCUAAACACGGCACAAGAAGACAAUCGAUUAAAUAGCUUCAUAACCUUUUAUAGGAAAUAACGGGUUGGUCAUUAAAUUAUGUUAAUAUAUUGCAUUUGAAAAAGCGUUUUUAAUCCUCAUAGGAUUUCUGCCAAAUAAUUAAUUGCAUAAAUAGUUAAAUAAUAAUUAAUUGUAAGCCAUUCAAUUCUUCUUUGAACAUUUGCACAUAUAUCGGGUUAUUUACAAAUAAUUUAUAAUCAUAAAUUAUUAUUGCACAUCCUGUAUAGGUAUCUAGUGUAUUGAAUUAUUUAAUACUGUAAUUUAAAUUAUUUAAUUAAAACAUUAUAAACUUACCAAUUCGAACACAGCUGAUAUUAAAAAAAAUUAAGCUAAUAAUAGAAAAUUUCUAAUGCAAUUUACUUAAUUCACCGUUUUAUUCGACGAUCCCAGAAAGCUUUUCAAUCGACGAUACACGAGUAUGAGCACUACACCUAACGCUGUUGGAAAUUACGAUGACCCAGGGUCAGUAAAUCGUAGAUAAUAGUAGUAAUUGGAAAUUCCUUGGCCAAUGCAAAUAAGAGACGGUUCAGAGAUAAAGAGGGAAGAUAUAAAUCUUUGUCAACGCGAUUUGGUUCACGGUCGAUGGAACGUCCGACGUACUAGAGCCUACAGCCUGCGGUUUACACAAUUUCCUCGGCAUUCGAGUAGUCUGUUCUACUCGGCGCCUCGUGGCCAGAAGAUCACGACGGAUUCCGGACAUCAGCGGACGAUCCGUUCUCGUCCUUUGUCGAGGAUGGGUAUCAAGGAUAGUUAAUUGGCUACCCGAAUAGGGUACGGCCAAUUAAGCGUUUAAUUAGAGUGGCAGGCUAUCGAUGGAUUUUCGGUUGCUUGGCAUUAAUCGAUGAUCUCUGGUCUGACAGGGCUUCGAAUAUUCGUCGUUGAAAUUCGUUGCAGUGGGUUUAUGUUUUGUUCAAAUUUCAAAAUACUGUUCGAAAAUUACAAUCAAUCUCUCGGAUAAUCCGUUGAAUGAAUAAGAACAUUUAUAUCAAACACGUUGAGAGAAACAUAAACUGUGAAAUUGGAACACUUGUAAUAGAAUACGUUUAUGUAUAUAUCGUAUGCAUUAUAUGAAACAUUUUGAAAUUUCAUUGGCAGUGUAAUGAGACACGACUGUCGUGAUUCAGUUGGAAAAAUUUGCAAGCUGAAGAUGAAUGUAGAAGCCAUAGAAUAUUUAUUAGAAGCAUAUACCCAUUGAAUAUCUAGAAGUAUUAAUACAAUGGAUGAUACGUUUAAGUACUUGAUUAUUUAACAUAAUUUAGUAUUUCAUUGUUUGUUUAAAUACUUUUAUGACGUCUGUGAAACAUAUAUUUGCAUUAAAUAUCUGCUAGCUCCUGUGUACAUUUUUAGAUUUGUUUCAAGCUUUUCCAUAAUAGUCGAGUAGUUUAUCAUCUUAGUUUACUUACCUUAAUAUACUAUGGCAUAAUCAUGAUAGGGGAGUCUCAUUACAAUGCUAAUGAAAUUUCAAUAUGUAUCAUAUAUAUAUGAUAGACAUAACGUAAGUAUUCAAAUAUCUUCAUCAUCUACUGUGUAUUUCAUUUGAGGCUACGAGUCCCCUUUUGAUAGUAAAAACAAUAUGGUCAAAAUUGCGAGUGACUUAUGAAGUAAGACACAAAGUCACACCUAUAAGUUCUAACAUUAUUCUCUGCCCGUAGAGAUCCCGGUGCACCAAUAUGUCGUCUCUAGCCGAAAAUUCACGAGCGCUUUCGAGAUUUUUAAAUAUAUAGAUAUAUCUGUAUAUAUAUAUAUGUAUGUACUUGGUGCACAUAGGCAACAUGGCGCUAAAGUUAGUAGGAAGUUUAAUACCUAACGACUCCCUGAGCUACCGUUUAUACGGCUCCAAAUUUCAUCCCUUGCCUUUUCUUUUUCUCGUCGUCCCUCACUCGGUCCCAAGCUCGUCUUCCUGCGAUAUUAUUAAAUUUUCUGGGGGAAUUGAAGCAAGAGAAUCCAUUCUUGUCCUUGUGUUAUUGAAAAAGAGCGUACAACAUGGUUGACUGCACGAAGGGCGGCUGCAAAAUCGUUUCAAAUUUUCGAUUCGGCUGAAAGAUUCUAUUCGAUCUAUCAACAUUUCUAUAUGUUGGAAAUGUCGAAAUUACCGCGAAUCGAGGAAACGAAUUUAAUUCCCCGGUUGGGCGAAAUAUCUGAACGCGGCAAUUAACGUGCUCGAGAUUUUUUCAUGACUGCCGUAAAUGAAAUACUAUCCUUUUGUGAUUCCAUUCGCGAUUAAAAACGGUACAGUCAAACGAAGCAAGCGCUUUUCGAACGAUACGUGGCGAAAAAAUAUUACGCCACAACCACAGCUGGUUUCUGUAUACUUCUUCGCUCAUACAUACCAUCAUGAAGAUGUACGUGAAUGUUCGAAUAUCGAUCGGUUUAAUGACUGCCGAAACAUUUCCAAAGUACGACGAGUAGCACUCGAAGAAGGAUCGACUUUUGAAACGCGUAGGAUACAGGACAAUUUUCAAGAGUUCCUUCAGGAAAGUUAGGCCAGUUGGAGAGGCACUUUUGCAACUUUUCGUGCUUAUAGAUCAUUCCAUGGUAGUCGUAACGUUAACUUCUCUUUUUCUCUCCCUCUCUCUCUCUUUCUCUUUUUCUGUCUCCAUGACAACAGAUAGACUUUCACAUUAACGAAUCGAUUUCGUCGAGUAAAAGUUGAAGCUACAAUUGGCUCUUAGAGCCACUCAGACAUGCAACACCGACAAACCGUGAUGAUUGAGAGAAAAAAGUUUCGAUUUCGUCAGGAAAAAGAAUAUUACCGACGAUUGUUGCAUCCAGUGUUAUUAUCGUUUGAAAAAGAAUGGUAAUUAAUAUCGUUGAUAUACGUCGAUAACGAAACGAUGAAACGACACGGUUUAGCUUGGUGUACAUCCGGCAAAACAAUGAGUAAAAUCGCGGACCAAUUAACGGUGUAAUGGUUGCACGAUAAUUUGCAACGAUAAAGCUUUCCUCUCUCUCUGGGGAUCGUUCGAACACCACAAAUUGCUCCAGCUGGCCUUAAUAAUUUUCUUUAAUCACUGCAUUCUAUAUUUAAUUCGUAGCGUCUGAUAGAUACGUCCCGGUGAUCUACAGUUCUUUGGUAAGCUCAGUAGGCUAGCUUAGCGGAGCACUUAUGGCUGAUUUAUACGAACCAUUACCACUAGCAGUGACCCAAUAAGGUUAUCCGCCAACCUCGGUGAAUCAGAUCAGUGGCGCUCUUAAAGGUUGAUUCACAAGGCCCACCGUUAGCCUUAAACCGUCCUCGAUUGUGAAUCUUAUUAAGGUCGAUGAUGAUACUCUUGUACUUGGUGACUUGGAGAUCAAUAGCGGGCUACUACAGUGUUAUUAUUCCUGCUAUUGAAUACGAAUAUGAUUGUCUAUGAAUAUUUUGAUUGCGUUUAAUAAUAUGGGCAGUUUUAUUGUUCUAUCUCCGGAUAAGACGAAGAGGUUUGCUUACUACGAGACAAUUUCAGUGGCAGGUAAAAAUGUGACUGAGUAUAGUAGGAAUGAUUUUGAAAUAUGAAGUGCAGAAAGAAGGCUACUCGACUCGAAGACGAACUGAGAAACAUAACUCAACGACUAUAGAUACGCAUCUUCCACAUAUUUUAACAAACGUUCUAUUGUAUUUUGUAACUUUUUUCACUUUAGACCGCUUGAAGCAAGGAAAGCACUUAACUCCGAGCAAAUUAAACUCAAGAAUAGAAUUGGAUAAUUGUAUUCAGAAAUUGUAUCGGUUAACUCGAUAGUAUUAGCAUAAUAUUAGUAAUUAUGAUUGUGCGCUAUUGCGCUAUUGUAUUCUUAAACAUUCGAAACUCGUUCUAUGCGUCUCUUUCAUAUGCACUUUGGCCGCUUUAAAUACUAAUCUAAGAAGAAAGAAGUUUCCCAUUUGCCAUUACGACAGCAAGAACGGGAAUUCUUAGACGACACGUCGUUAAAGCGUGGGCGUAGCUUUUAACUACAGUUUCCGUGUUAUUAGCGCCGGCUAGUCGUUAGCCAAAUUUUUCCUGGGCAAACUAUUCAACUCGUAAUCCGAACACAACAGUGCUAAAAGCUCAUCGUCGUCCUUAAUAGUGCGCUCUGAAUACGAGCCAAAUAUUAAAAUCUCUUCUCGCGGAAGGCAAAACUUCAAAGACGCGGCGGAGCGGUUCAGAACGAAGAUUCCAGAAGAUUAGCCGGGAAGAAACGCGGAAAUUCGGUGGCUCCUAGACAUCGAAAAUCCGCUGCAAAACAAGGAUAGAGGCGAGAUAGUUCGAGUGAAAGGUACUGAAAAGGUGGAAUAAGUCGUCGAAUUGGAAGAUAACGAAAGGAAGGGGGACAGGGGAAGAAACUGAGCAGAACUGAAAGUGGAAAGACGGUGAAAACUUUAGGUUGAAACGGUUAGAGUGCCCUUCGGAGCGAGACGGUAUGAAGAUAUCGAGGAUAGGGUCUCGAGACGAGUGGCAGAGUGAGAGGACUCACGGUGAUGUGCAAUUAGGAAAAUUGAAUUCCGCCGUAAUUAACUUUCUUAAUUAAUAGAAUCGCGGGAUUGUAUCUUUAAUCUGGCCGUUGGAAGUGCUUCUGGCAGCUUCUGUCACCGAACGGGAGAGAAUGUGGCUUGGCUCCGACUCGGGAUGAAACCAGGAACAGAUGAAGACGACUGUAAAGGACGAGGAUAGAGAAAACGAUAGAACGACCGGGAUGCAAGAUUGACGAACGUGCAGAGAACGUGGAAGAACAGGGAGAAGAAAGGGAUAAGACAGGAUUGUUGCAAGACGCAGAAGCGGUGGCGACGAUUGCGAGCUACUCUGGGAUGGGUAGUCGCUGUAAGUUUUGAUAUAUGCGCCAGGUUAUUUACGAUCGCAUAAGAAUUAGCCCAGACAGUAAGCCGGUCUUUCUCUAGCAAAAAGCUGACUUUGUGCCGCGGACUGGCACUGUAGUCCACCGGUUUUUGCUCGUUCGCUUUCGGAAAAGUCGUUAAAUCUCGCGCCGCAUUCGACGAAUCAGCCAAAUGACGUUUCUUGCGUCCUGUGGUUGUAUCGAUGGAAGUUCGGACGGCGAUAAUUCCACUCGCGUGUCUCAACUUCUUCGAUACGGUGCGAUGGUGUCAUUCAAAUCUGUAGGAUAUUUCGACGAAGCUAAACAAUGCAACGAGUUAAUUGAUGCUCGAAAGUGUAGUUGUUCGUAUAGUAUCAUUUCGCUAUAUCUGUUCAGUUAUACGUUGAAACAAUAGCCCUGUCAUGGAAUUAUUCAACUCAUCCUCUCGUUUUUUGAUAUCUUCUCUGACUGAUCUUAUGGUACACAAUAUUUUCUCAUUCUUUCGUCAUUAUAUUAACGACUUUAUCCGCCUCAUAAUAUACAACAAACUUGAGUAUUCUAUACGAAAUUGAAGUAUAAAUUUGAACAUGCCGAAGCUCGGAUGAUUCAAAUAACCCCAUCUUCCGUAGAACAAACCGGGCAAGUGGCGAUAGAUUCGCGAGACCAACUGUUUGCAUUGGUUCGUGGAUACUAUUUGAAAAUUCGUCGGAUCCCCGGGCGAGAUUGUCACAACGAAUUAUGCUGGUCGCAUGAAAAAUUAACGGGGAUCGUUUUCGACGAUCGACGUACGUUAGAAAGCCAAGCGGAAAGUCAUUUUUCUCUUCGUUCUUUUAACGGCCACUGGCAGAUUAAUUAAUCACGCCGUGCCGAUUUCGUUCGACCACGCGGCUCGAUUAAUAAAAUCGAACCCCGACUCUCGUCCCUUGUUUAAGUUAACUUGCUCGCCGUGCAGUUAAUUACGCCGAUCGAUGAGCGCCGUAUAUUUUUGACGUUCAUGGAAUACGAGGACACACCGUGUGUACUCGUAAAACUGGUUUUGACGAGCGCCUUUAAUCCCGGCCAACGAAUGGAAACGACUCUGAAUUCACGAUGAAACGCGUAAAUUCGUAAUCUGCAAAAUGUACAACAACUCGCCGAACUUCUGAUUUAUGAUCCUGGACAACGCUUUCACAGGAUUUUCCACGUUAUGCCGUGUUAUCUGACACAUCUAAAAUAUUAUGAGGAAAGUUGUACAUGCGUACAUUGUAUUUUUCGACCGAUGUGCAGCAAUUAAGAGAAUCUCUACUGUUGUUAUUCGACCGCUUACGCAGCAGUGAAACCUUGUCAGUCUGUCAUCAAACUUAUCGGAGUACGAACGUGGCGCCAUGAAGAAUAAUAAAGCGACUCAUUGGUGUUCCGAUUGGAAUCUCACAAGGAAUUGUGCUUCGUGUUGUUUCAAAGGAAUAUCGAUGGAUUGGUCGAUGGAUUUCUUGGAAACAUUGGAAUACCAAGCCUAGAUGAUGGAAAACGAGCAUUUGCCAUUACUGAGCAGCGUUAGUUAAAUGAAGGUGGAAUGGAGAAACUUAUGGAGUGGGGUUAAGAGAUACAGCGUUCGUCGACGCCAUGUGUCUUUGACUCUUUGACGAGUCAAUGUCAACACGACGACGAGUGGACUUCUCGUGCUAUGCUUCGGCGUGGAAUCUCGUGUAGAGUGUAGAGGCACAUGACGACAACUUCUGAUGGAAUUCGUGAACUGGAUACGAAGCGGACUGCUUCAAAGAACCUGAAUCGGAAAUAUCCGACUGGAUGAUAGAGAGGAACGUCGUUUGUCACGACAAAAUACCCUUUCUGGAAGUUGCCGAGGAAAACAAUUAGAUGACCUAUCGCAUGAUUCUAUCGACAUCCUUCAAGCAGCAACCUGCCAGAUGGAAGUAAAGUAUGAAGCCAGAUGGCGUCGACGUUUUGCCAGACACACAUCGCGUUCCAGAAUUUAAUUGAACGUCGUCAGGAAAAUUACUUAUAGCUAGUUGGAUCUCGACACCGUCUGGGGACAUCGGUGGAUCAAUUUUUGAAGCGCGCCAUGAAACCGACGGGGAGGGUCGCUACUAAGAACAAUGACGAUGCUGAUGCGAGACAUUCAGUCGUAAAUUAUCCCUGCAAGGUAUUAUUAAUUAAUAGCCUUGUUAAGUCGCGUCGCGCCGUGCCAAGAGGUGCCACAAAUUGGACACCCCAAUAAGGGACUGUAUCUACUGACAUUUUCUAUAUUAUUUAAUUCCUUUAAAAAAUUAUAAGAAAACAGUAAAAUAAGACCUUGGACGUAGAA